rnacentral:rRNA from 1 species
AUUGAACGCUGGCGGCAGGCCUAACACAUGCAAGUCGAGCGGAUGAAGGGAGCUUGCUCCUGGAUUCAGCGGCGGACGGGUGUGUAAUGCCUAGGAAUCUGCCUGGUAGUGGUUGAUAACGUCCGGAAACGGGCGCUAAUACCGCAUACGUCCUGAGGGAGAAAGUGGGGGAUCUUCGGACCUCACGCUAUCAGAUGAGCCUAGGUCGGAUUAGCUAGUUGGUGGGGUAAAGGCCUACCAAGGCGACGAUCCGUAACUGGUCUGAGAGGAUGAUCAGUCACACUGGAACUGAGACACGGUCCAGAGUCCUACGGGAGGCAGCAGUGGGGAAUAUUGGACAAUGGGCGAAAGCAUGAUACAGCCAUGCCGCGUGUGUGAAGAAGGUAUUCGGAUUGUAAAGAACUUUAAGUUGGGAGGAAGGGCAGUAAGUUAAUACCUUGCUGUAUUGACGUUAACAACAGAAUAAGCACCGGCUAACUUCGUG